GCGGGCAUCGUAUAGUGGCAGUACGUAACCUUCCCAAGGUUAAAGUGUGAGUUCGAUUCUCAUUGCCCGCUCCA
rnacentral:tRNA from 3 species